GCAGAGAAUGGGCAAGGGCUUCCUUCCACAAGGUUACCAACCCCAUUGGCAGCCUUGUCGACAUUCAACAAGGCUUAGAAUGAAGACACUUGUAGAUAUACCAAAAAUGCAGAUCCUUAACUUGGAAAUUAAUGGGAGUUAUGUUAAUUCUACAUAACUCACAUAUAUUUGCUUCAGUGCUUCAAAUAUUACAACAGCUCCCUCUAUCUCAGACCAUCAAAGGAUAACGGACUCAUGUUGCUUGAACUCCUUGCUCUUGAGCGAGCCCUCAAGGCCAAUGAGGGGAUACACAUUGACAUCAACAGAGAUGGGACCAUCAUUUCGCCAUACUUUGUGUGUCUGGGCGCAGUGGCCGCGACGAGGGAACGUUACUUAGCCCCAGAGAUUAUCCUGUAAAAGGUGCGGAGGGAAUAGACCCUUACUUGGUCAUGGACUAAUAAAUAGCUGGAUUUUGAAUUUUCGUUGUCCCGGUUUGCUUCCCAUAUGCUGUCGAACGGUCGAACCUCAAAACGAUAAUGGAUAUCUUCUCCGUCUCAUCCACACACCACCACUAUCACUCUUCACCCUUCUCUACUGUACUCGCCGGAAAAUCACAACAAAUCUCCUCUAUCCUCACCUUAUCGCUCCAAUCCUCUCCAGAACCUAACCAACCGACCAACCCUCCACGCCUUUCCGGAGAAAUCCGCCGCCCUCAGACCCUCAAAGCAUCCCCAAGCAAGCCCAACUCACCUGGCCCUAAAAAGAUCUCCACAAACCCACUACGAAAUCUCGUAACUCCCUCCUCCACAACUCCCAAGAACCCAGACAAUCUCGCCAACAAGCUUUGGCUCUCCAGCAAAAUCUCUCCUCCUCUACCUGAAGAAGAAACUGAAGAUGCCGAGGAAGCGCAGAACAAAGAAGAUGAAAAAUGGAAUGUUCAUGACGAUGCUGAUUCUGCCCGUGUGUCGGUCCCUGAAUUCCGACAAGAAGGCAAGAUUUUUGUCGGAAAUCUUCCUCUGUGGAUCAAGAAGAACGAAUUCGCUGAAUUUUUUCGACAGUUUGGGCCGAUUAAGAAUGUGAUACUUAUAAAAGGACACGAAGAUCCUGAGAGGAAUGUUGGUUACGGUUUUGUCAUCUAUGGUGGCCCAACGGCUGCGAAUUCGGCUUCCAAGGCUGUGGAGUUCGAUGGAGUGGAGUUUCACGGAAGGACUUUGACUGUGAAGUUAGAUGAUGGGAGGAGAUUGAAGGCGAGGUACGAGGAGAGAGCCAGAUGGGUUGCUGGAUCGAAUGAGGUGGAGUAUAGGUCUAAGUGGCAUGAAGAGAGGGAUAAUUAUCGCAGGGAGUUCCGGAAGGUUCUUGAGACUGAACCAAAUAAUUGGCAGGCUGUUGUUCAGGCCUUUGAAAGGAUUGACAAGCCUUCUAGAAAAGAAUUUGGGUUGCUGGUGAACUAUUACGCAAGGAGAGGGGACAUGCAUCGUGCACGUGAAGCAUUUGAACGGAUGCUAGCAAGAGGGAUCGAACCAACCUCCCAUGUCUAUACGAACCUUAUUCAUGCUUAUGCAGUUGGUCGAGACAUGGAUGAAGCAUUGUCUUGUGUGAGGAAAAUGAAGCGAGAAGGCAUUGAAAUGAGUUUGGUGACAUACAGUAUCCUUGUGGGUGGAUUUGCAAAAAUUGGUGAUGCUGAAGCUGCAGAUAAAUGGUUUAAGGAGGCCAAAGAGAGGAAUACAACCUUAAAUGCGAUCAUAUAUGGUAAUGCUAUCUAUGCUCAUUGCCAAACGGGAAAUAUGGGUCGAGCUGAGUACUUGGUAAGGGAAAUGGAAGGAGGAGGGAUUGAUGCUCCAAUUGAUAUAUAUCACACUAUGAUGGAUGGUUAUAUAAAUAUAGGCAAUGAGGAGAAAUGUCUCACUGUGUUUGAAAGACUUAAGGAAUGUGGUUUUACACCUUCAGUGAUAAGCUUUGGGUGCCUAGUUAAUCUUUACACAAAGAUGGGAAAGAUUUCCAAAGCCCUGGAGGUCAGCAAAAUGAUGGAAUCAUGUGGCAUAAAACACAACAUGAAAACAUACUCCAUGAUCUUAAAUGGAUUUUUGAAACUAAAUGAUUGGGCAAGAGCGUAUGCUAUUUUUGACGAUGUGGUGAAAGCAGGCCUGAAACCUGAUGCUGUGCUCUACAAUAAUGUCAUCCGAGUAUUCUGUGGCAUGGGUAACAUGGAUCGAGCUGUUCAUACUGUUGAAAUAAUGCAGAGGGAGAGACAUAGACCUACUUCACGGACAUUUAUGCCAAUCAUACAUUGCUUUGCAAAAGCUGGAGAAAUGAGAAGAGCCCUUGAGAUUUUUAAUAUGAUGAGGAAGUGUGGAUGCAUUCCUACUGUGCACUCUUUCAAUGCUUUGAUUCUUGGCCUUGUUGAAAAGCACCAGAUGGAGAAGGCUGUUGAGGUUUUAGGAGAGAUGUUAUUGGCUGGCAUAACUCCCAGUGAGCAUACCUAUACAACCAUCAUGAAUGGUUAUGCAUCCCUUGGAGAUACUGGGAGAGCUUUUGAGUACUUCACAAAAAUUAAAGAGGAGGGUUUGGAGCUUGAUGCUUUCUCAUACCAAGCAUUACUUAAAGCAUGUUGCAAGUCAGGCAGAAUGCAAAGUGCUUUAGCAGUUACAAGGGAAAUGAGUGCUCAAAAUAUUCCACGGAACACCUUCGUGUACAACAUAUUAGUUGAUGGAUGGGCUCGAACGGGUGACGUUUGGGAGGCUGCUGACCUGAUGCAACAGAUGAGGCAAGAGGGUGUUCUACCUGACAUCCAUACGUACACAUCUUUCAUAAAUGCAUGUUGCAAGGCUGGAGACAUGAUGAGAGCAACAAAGACUAUAGAAGAGAUGGAAGCUGUUGGUGUGAGACCUAAUGUUAAAACAUAUACUACAUUAAUCCACGGGUGGGCUAGAGCCUCACUUCCUGAGAAGGCCCUCAGAUGCUUUGAAGAGAUGAAGUUGGCCGGUUUGAAGCCAGACAAAGCUGUUUACCAUUGCCUGAUGACAUCGUUUCUAUCUAGGGCUACUGUUGCCGAAGAAUAUAUUUAUUUAGGUAUUCUGGGCAUUUGUAGAGAGAUGAUAGAGCUUGGGUUGACCAUUGAUAUGGGGACUGCCGUUCAUUGGUCCAGGUGUCUAUGCAAGAUUGAGAGGUCAGGUGGAGAUCUUACUGAAGCCUUGCAAAAGACCUUUCCUCCCGCUUGGAACUCAUAUGUAAACCUUUUGGAUAACACCAAUCAGACAGACAGUGGUGGUGGUGCAUAUUAUGAGGUAGACUGACGACGAUAAUAACAGUUUCAUGGAAAGGGAUAAUCGUGAUGACCAUAGAUUCUGGUUUUAAUUGAUGGGCUAGAGGAGGGUUCUAAUGUAGGGUAUGGAAUUGAUGGUGUCCAGAUGGCUGUCACAGUAAUGAUAGUACCAGCUCCAUCUGUAGGUGGUUUUCAAUGUUGGUACCAUGAAUGACGUCAUAUAUUUUACAAGGUAUGUAUUUUACAUUGUCAGAACACAAUCAUGAAUUCUAAACUCAACUCUCCUUGCAUGGCAAAAUAUUUCUGCUCUCACUGCUUCCUUUUGGUUAACUUCUGAGCAGUUUCAUCAAAGAAUUUCCCUUGGUUGAAAACUGGUAGAUCAGAUUCAAGAACCUGACCUUUAUUAUUCUUCCCAUCCAUAUCUAUAGAGUCACUAAAAUCAUAUUGUUCUAUAUUCAAUAACCACACUUCAUUCAUUUUAUUUUUGCCAGCUAUUAUUGAGGUCUUUAGUCAAUCUGACUUUAAUUCA